AGAUUGAACGCUGGCGGCAGGCCUAACACAUGCAAGUCGAGCGGUAGAGAGGUGCUGACGAGUGGCGAACGGGUGAGUAAUGUAUCGGAACGUGCCCAGUCGUGGGGGAUAACGCAGCGAAAGCUGCGCUAAUACCGCAUACGAUCUAUGGAUGAAAGCGGGGGACCGUAAGGCCUCGCGCGAUUGGAGCGGCCGAUAUCAGAUUAGGUAGUUUGGUGGGGUAAAGGCGUCACCAAGCCAACGAUCUGUAGCUGGUCUGAGAGGACGACCAGCCACACUGGGACUGAGACACGGCCCAGACUCCUACGGGAGGCAGCAGUGGGGAAUUUUGGACAAUGGGCGCAAGCCUGAUCCAGCAAUGCCGCGUGCAGGAAGAAGGCCUUGGUUGUAAACUGCUUUUGUACGGAACGAAACGGUCUUGGUUAAUACCUGGGCUAAUGACGUACCGUAAGAAUAAGCACCGGACUAACUACGUGCCAGCAGCCGCGGUAAUCUA
rnacentral:rRNA from 1 species